rnacentral:tRNA from 1 species
GGGCAUUUGGUCUAGUGGUAUGAUUCUCGCUUUAGGGUGCGAGAGGUCCUGAGUUCAAUUCUCGGACUGCCCU